rnacentral:lncRNA from 1 species
CCGCAGCGGGGCGGACGGCGUCGGGGUUUGGAACAAAGGGCCCUUUUUGUGCGUUUGGGGCAGGGCGCAGCUGCGGGGCUGGGUGGCACCGUUGGCUCCGGCCCCGCAGUCGCUGUGGGAUCGCGGGCAGCGCGGCAGCGCGGCGCUUUCGGCCCAGCGAGCGAAGCCGGGGGGGGGGAAUCGCCGUGGGACGGCGCGGAUCCCAAUGGGGCAGCGAUCGGAGAAGAACGUCCCCAGGGCGGCCCGGGGGGCUUUCUGCCUCCUGCAGAUCCCGGAACCCGACCCGUUCGGUCUGUGGGUUUAGGGGAUGAGCUGUGACCCCGCCGAGCCGUUCCUGCGUGCCGAUCCCCGAUGGGAAACCGCCGCGCUGCGCCACGGAGCGAGCAAUGCACGGCGCGUCCUGCUUGUAGGGUGAAUGGGGACGGAGCCCCGUAGGACCCCGUGGAUCGGAGCAGCACGUGAGCACAUGGCCAACGAAACGGGGAUGGAGGAAACCGCGCCGCGCUGGAGGAGAGCAGCGCACGGCGCCCGCGGGGCGAUGGAGAGCAAUGGGGUCGUGGGGGCGGUCCCGCCCCACAGCGCGACCCUCGAGUCGCCCCUCCACGGCUACCAGGAGCCCGGCAAGCUGAGCCACAAGUGCUGCCCGUGGAGCUGCUCCGAGGGAUGCUCGGAACCGGCCGGCAUCCACACGGGCUGCCCCUUCCUGCCGGCCGCGCAGUGCGCACGGGACGCGCCGUGCCACCCCAAGGACACCCGGCUGCUGCCGCCCCUCCCCAAAAACGGGCAGCCCAAAGGCUGGGCUGAGCCCCCCAAGGAGCGCCCGCGUUGGGCAGAGGCCGUGCUGGGCCCCCUGGCCCUCUACAGCCACGGGUACCACCGCUACCCCGUGCCCUUCCCCGUGGAGAGAAAACCCCACAGCGGCACGGAUGGAGACCCCAAAACCUUCCGCCACUGCCCCUUCCUCCUGUCCUCAGCGCUGCCCGCGGAGCCCCGAUUUGGGGGCACGGAGGGCGUGACGGGCAGCGAUUGGCACCUGGGAUCCUACGUGCCAACCUGGGGGCAGCCCCUCUACUUGGGGGUCCCACCGAGGGGAAAAGCGGCCCCCACCCCAUUCAGUGACUGCUCUGGAUCGGGGAAUAGGGUAAGGGUGGUCCUCUGGGUACCCCGUUGUGUGGGGGUGGGGGUCCAUGGGGAUUUGGGGUCAGUGGGGAUGGGGGUCCAUGGGGAUUUGGGGUUCAUGGGGAUGGGGGUCCAUGGGGAUGGGAAUCCACGGGGAUUUGGGGUCCAUGAGGAUUUGGAGUCAGUGGGGAUGGAGGUCCAUGGGAACAGGGUCCGUGAGGAUG